rnacentral:rRNA from 1 species
UACGAGGGGGGCGAGCGUUGUUCGGAAUUAUUGGGCGUAAAGGGUGCGUAGGCGGUUUGGUAAGUCUUAUGUGAAAUCUACAGGCUCAACUUGUAGUCUGCAUGAGAAACUGCCGGGCUUGAGUAUGGGAGAGGGUAGUGGAAUUCCCGGUGUAGCAGUGAAAUGCGUAGAGAUCGGGAGGAACACCAGUGGCGAAGGCGGCUACCUGGACCAGCAUUGACACUCAAGCACGAAAGCGUGGGGAGCAAACAGG